UUAAUCAACAUGCAUUUAUCAAGCACCUGCUGUGUGAUCAACGUCAUUCUUGGAGAAUUCAUGCUGAUUAAAUUCUCUGUAAAACAAUUAGGAAGCUGUAUCUUGUUUUUGCUCUGCCCCAUUCCUACCCCCAAAUUCAUACAAAUGCAUUCCAAAAUCAAAUAAAUGCUCUUUUUGUAUCAAUUUAGCAUUUUGAAUUAUCUACAUUAUGCUCCGUUCUGUUGAGAGUUGAUAACACCCUGGUCAAUUACGAUUUUUCUAAGCUAGUCAAAGCAGUUUGACAUAAAUGUAUACAUUUCUGAAUGAUUGUGUUCUUUUAUAUAUCUCCUUUUAAGGAAAUUUAUUUGCUAAGGUUUUGUUCACUUGUUUAUGCCGUUACAAGUAACAGAAACCAGCUUGUACUGGCAAAAAGAGAAAAAAGAAAAAAACUUAUUGAAAAUAUAUUAGGCUCUCUCAUGGAAUCCAAAGAAUUGAACAAUCAACCGUGAAAGGCAGAAGCCAAAGAAGCUCUGGGACCUGGGCAACAGCUGCUCACAAGCCUCCCCUUUGGAAUUCUGCCACUAAUGUGACUUAGUGCCAAACUCUGUGUAGCUCAGUUCAAAAUUCAAAAUGGGGGCUCAGGGUGGGGGGAGAUGGAAUCCGAUUGGUUCAGCUGUGGUUAGAAGGCUGCUGCUCCAAUCAAAUGUGGCCUAGAGGCAGAGUCCCAUGCUCGGUAUCCCCCACCGCCCAGUCCUGAAGUCACCAGCCACACAUGGAUAUGGCAGAUUUCGAGUGUGGCUAGAAUGACUGAGGAACCGAAUUUUUAAAUUUUAAUUUUUAUUAGUUUAAAAAUUGAAGCAGCAUAGCAUAUUUUUCCAUUAUACACAAAUUCAUUGUUUUUUUAGAUCUGCAUUUCACUUUGUUAAAAUUUACCAUCUGAAUUGAGAUAAUGCUGCCAGGGUAAAACACCCAUUGGAUCAUGAAGACAGCGUUUUUUAAAAGAGUUGAGAGGCAUCCAAGCACCUGCUUCUGCUGGGAAACACAAGGAAGAUGACAUUGGAGUGGAGUCCGAAGGAUAAGCGGACACAGGGGACGAGCUGCAGAGGGACCUCUCAGAAACCAAGCCAUGUGACAAACUCAGAGAGUAGCCAUCUAGAAGCCAGGACUAGAAGUCUCACCAGAAGCCGCAUCUCCCAACACCUUGAUCUGACACUUCUAACCUGCAGAACUGUGAGAAAACGCGUGUCUGUUUAAGACAUCCAGCUUGUGGUAUUCUGUUACAACAGUACUAGUGUUAGUCUAAUAACAGAAGUUAUGACAAGCGUGUCAAACUAGAAUGAUAUUUGCCUAAACUAAAACAAUGACAGCGAAAGUAGAGAGAAGAGGAUGAAAUUGAGGCUAAUUAAGAGUUAGAAAGGAGAGGAUUUAGUGAUAGAUGUGGGAACUGGGCCUAGGUGACCCUCAAGUUUCUGAUUUGAACUCCUAGAACACAGUUGCUGGGUCAGUAUGAGGUCCCAAGUCCUUUCCUUCUUUGCUCUCUAUGUAAAUUCUACCUCUCUAUACCUGAAAUAUUAAAGCAAGCAUUUGUGCAGCUGAUGCAAAUCCAAAUGUACCCCGUAAUGAUUGUGGGCAGAUGAGAGGACCAACAUGAUAUUCGUGCACCUGGGAGCCUAUGAAGCAUCAUUGAAAAGACAAUGUGGAUGGUGGGUGCUGUGGCGCAGUGGGUUAACGCCCUGACCUGAAACACCGGCAUCCCCAAGUGGGCGCCAGUUCGAGACCUAGCUGCUCCACUUUCCACGAAGCUCUCUGCUAUGGCCUGGGAAAGCAGUGGAGGAUGGCCCAAGUCCUUGGGACCCUGCACCCAUGUGGGAGACCUGGAAGAAGCUCCUGGCUCCUGACUUUGGAUCGGCACAGCUCUGGCUAUUGCAGCUAUCUGGGGAGUGAAUAAGCAGGUGGAAGACCUCUCUCUCUCUCUCACUGCCUCUGUCUCUCUGUGGACUCUGUCUUUCAAAUAAAUAAAUAAAUCUUUACCAAAAAACAACAAUGUGGAGGCUGACAUCUGAUAAUCACUAGACACUAAACUUCAUCCUUAAAUUCUCCUCGAGGGAAGAUAGCACUGUAAUCUGGGCUUCUCAAAUAGUGGCUGAAAUCUACUAUACACUCAAUAAAAUCAACUCUACCAUUGAUUCAGCCUGAAGUGGGAGACAGCACUAAAUUAUACUAUCUUGCUUUGAGAACAAGGAUUAAGAACAAGAAGAGAAGGCCAGCACCGCAGCUCACUUGGCUAAUCCUCUGCCUGUGGCACCAGCACCCCGGGUUCUAGUCCCAGUCAGGGCACCGGAUUCUGUCCUGGUUGCACCUCUUCCAGUCCAGCUCUCUGCUGUGGCCCAGGAAGGCAGUGGAGGAUGGCCCAAGUGCUUGGGCCCUGCGCCCCCAUGGGAGACCAGGAGGAAGCACCUGGCUCCAGGCUUGGGAUCGCCGCAGCACACAGACCAUGGCAACCAUUUGGGGGAAGGAAGACCUUUCUCUCUGUCUCUCUGUCUCUCUGUCUCUCUCUCUCUCUCUCUCUCACUGUCUAUCUGUCAAAUAAGAAGGAAGGAAGGAAGGAAGGAAGGAAGGAAGGAAAGAAGGAAGGAAGGAAGGGGUCUUCUGUACUCUGGUUCAUUCCCAAUGGCCACAACUGCUGGAGCUGGGCUUACCCCAAGCCAGGAGCUUCUUCCAGGUCUCCCACAUGGAUGCAGGGACCCAAGCACUUGGGCCAUCUUCUACUGCCUUCCCAGGCCAUAGCAGAGAGCUGGAUCAGAAGAGGAGCAGCCAGGACACAAACAGGCACUCGUAUGGGAUGCCAGUGCUACAGGCAGAGGCUAAGCCCAUUGUGCCACAGCACCAGCCCCACAUUUAACUUUUUGAGAAACUGUAAAACUGUCUUCUAUAGUAUUGUGUGAUUACAAAUAUUUUCUCCCAGGCCAGGGCCGCGGCUCACUAGGCUAAUCCUCCGCCUUGCGGCACGGGCACACCAGGUUCUAGUCCCGGUCAGGGCGCCGGAUUCUGUCCCGGUUGCCCCUCUUCCAGGCCAGCUCUUUGCUGUGGCCAGGGAGUGCAGUGGAGGAUGGCCCAAGUACUUGGGCCCUGCACCCAUGGGAGACCAGGAGAAGCACCUGGCUCCUGCCAUCGGAUCAGCGCGGUGCGCCGGCCACAGCGCACCGGCCGCAGCGGCCAUUGAAGGGUGAACCAACGGCAAAGGAAGACCUUUUUCUCUGUUUCUCUCUCUCUCACUAUCCACUCUGCCUGUCAAAAAAAAAAAAAAAAAAAAACCACGAAUAUUAUUCUCUCCCAACUCUAUGGGUUAUUUCAUGGUGUCCUUUGAUACAAAUAAUUGAUUUUAAUGAAAUCCAAUCAGUCUGUUCUUGUGUUACUUGUUCUUUUAGUGUCAUCUAAGAAUCCAUUGCCAAAGCAAGGGCCAUGAAGCUUUCCUCCUGUGUUUUCUUCUGAGAGUUUUCUAGUUUACAAUUUUGUAGUUUUACGUCCUUGCAUUUAGCUAUCUCACAGAUUUUGAGAUAAUCUGCAUAUGAUGGAAGGAGAGAAUCUAAUCUCAUUCUUUUAUAUGUGGAUAUCCAGUUCUUCCAGUCCCAGUUGUCAAAGAGGCCGUUCAUUCCUCCAUUGAAUUGUUUGGGCAUUCUUGUCAAAAGUCAAUUGGCCACAGAUGUAUGAAUUUAUUUGUAUACUCUCAGUUCAAUGCUUCGCCUUUGCCAAUACCACCAUGUUUUGAUUGCUGUAGCUUUGUAGCAAACUUUGAGAUUGAGACGCAUGGAUCCUCCAACUUUGUCUUUCUUUUUCAAGAUUGUUUUGGCUGCUUAGGGUCCCUUGAGAUCACAUAUGAAUUUGAGAACUGGCUUUUUCCAUUUGUGCAACAUGGGCUUGGGAUUUUGAUAAGGAUUGUUUUGAAUAUGUAUAUCACUUUGGGGAGUAAUAUCAUCUUCACAAGAGCAAGUCUU